GGGUCGGUUGUCUAGCUUGGCUAUGAUUCUUGGUUUGGGUCCAAGAGGUCGCCGGUUCAAAUCCGGCCCGGCCCACCA
rnacentral:tRNA from 1 species